AUGACAAGACCAAAAAGUGAAGGGGGUAUGGGAUUUCGCAAUCUUCAGCUUUUUAAUCAAGCGCUUUUGGCAAAACAAGCUUGGCGUCUUUUGGUUUUUCCAGACCCUCUGUGUGCAAAGUUGAUGAAAGCUAAAUAUUAUCCUCAUGGGCAUCUUAUUGAUAUCGUUUUCCCUCAAGAUACAUCCUUUCUUGGCAAGGAAUUAUGCAUGGCCUCGAACUGCUAA
rnacentral:rRNA from 1 species